UAGCGCGGUGGUCCCACCUGACCCCAUGCCGAACUCAGAAGUGAAACGCCGUAGCGCCGAUGGUAGUGUGGGGUCUCCCCAUGCGAGAGUAGACU
rnacentral:rRNA from 1 species